AUAUCGUAAUAAACGUGUUGACCCCGUCUUACCUCCAGGGACGUCCUUUCUGGGAAGAAGGGCUCCCUCUGUCACACGGACCAGGAUACGUUUAAGCCACCGCAAUUCUCCGGCGUGUACAACUUCAACGCUACGGCGUAUUGCUACGACCGCCUUAUCACCACGGGAAAUGUGCUGGCUGCCAACAUCCAAGUGCUAGCCACUUGCCAAGUUAUCUGUGCACUCGCUUACGGAGAAACUAGGACCCUUCGACACCUGGGCGCAUGCAACGUCGUAGAUCGGAAUGCAACUUACUGCUUCAAUGACGAAAACAAGGUGUGCUUCCAGAAGACAUGCACGAAAACCUACGCACAGCUCAAGACCCUCAGCCAAUCACAAUGGGGUCAAGGAGUAAAUUUUGUGGACGACACAGAGUGUCACGUCGCACCAAAUAUCCCGUGACUAUUAGCAAUGCCAAUAGAUAUUUCGGUUGAGAUUCUGCAUUAAAUAUCAUCAGCAAUAAAUCACGACAGCAGCGACAUCAGCAAUAAAUAUAUUCGUGC